UCCUUCUAGAAUCCCAUCUCUUCUCUUUGUACCAGGUGGUGAAGAGUUUAAGGAACUGAGCGAUAGCGAAGGCAAGGAAAGCGGAGAGAAGAGGAGUGUUGGAGGGAAUUAUGGAGGGCUGAAAUGAUGCUGAUCGAAAGCUUGACGAUGCAUCAGAGGCCAUGAUGACUUCGUCCAUCGAAAGCAAAUGCGUGGAGAGAGAAAGAGGGAGAAGAAGCUUAGUGGUUUGCCCUUCAAGAAGAAGAAGCUAUUCGAAUUUCGAGGAGAGUUACGUCGCGGGCAGGGAAUUGAG
rnacentral:misc_RNA from 1 species